GAUGAACGCUAGCUACAGGCUUAACACAUGCAAGUCGAGGGGAAACGACAUCGAAAGCUUGCUUUUGAUGGGCGUCGACCGGCGCACGGGUGAGUAACGCGUAUCCAACCUGCCCAUCACUUGGGAAUAACCUUGCGAAAGUAAGACUAAUACCCAAUGAUAUCCCACGAAGGCAUCGGAAUGGGAUUAAAGAUUUAUCGGUGAUGGAUGGGGAUGCGUCUGAUUAGCUUGUUGGCGGGGUAACGGCCCACCAAGGCAACGAUCAGUAGGGGUUCUGAGAGGAAGGUCCCCCACAUUGGAACUGAGACACGGUCCAAACUCCUACGGGAGGCAGCAGUGAGGAAUAGUGGUCAAUGGGCGAGAGCCUGAACCAGCCAAGUAGCGUGCAGGAAGACGGCCCUAUGGGUUGUAAACUGCUUUUAUAAGGGAAUAAAGUGGGUCACGUGUGACUUUUUGCAUGUACCUUAUGAAUAAGGACCGGCUAAGUCCGUG
rnacentral:rRNA from 1 species